AGGAUCAUGGGACCGUCACAUGACGCCAGUUAGUCUCGCGAGGCCUGGCUGAUGCCUGCCCUGGUUCCUGUCCUGCAGAAACAAAAGGGUAUUUUUGGGCUCUAACAAUAGAAGCUAAGAGAGGAUGGAUCUAAACUUAUAAAACAGAGAGCCAUUAAGUCCAUUUUGGGUCGACUGUAUACAUUUGGUGCCGUGCGCUGGCUGUGUUUCUGGUUGAAGUCUCACUAAGUGUCAAGCCGUGACAUUUCUGCUCCAGUUGGCUUUGUGUUCACCGGUCCACGCUCAGCAGAUUCCCCAAAACACAUUUGAAAAGACUCUCAAUAGGGAACAAGCCACAACCACUAAGAAUAAUGCAGU